rnacentral:rRNA from 1 species
UACGUAGGGUGCAAGCGUUAAUCGGAAUUACUGGGCGUAAAGCGUGCGCAGGCGGCUUUGCAAGAUAGAUGUGAAAUCCCCGGGCUUAACCUGGGAACCGCAUUUGUGACUGCAUAGCUGGAGUACGGCAGAGGGGGAUGGAAUUCCGCGUGUAGCAGUGAAAUGCGUAGAUAUGCGGAGGAACACCGAUGGCGAAGGCAGUCCCCUGGGCCUGUACUGACGCUCAUGCACGAAAGCGUGGGGAGCAAACAGG